rnacentral:rRNA from 1 species
UACGGGGGGGGCAAGCGUUGUUCGGAAUUACUGGGCGUAAAGGGUUUGUAGGCGGCUUGUUAAGUCAGACGUGAAAUCCCUCAGCUUAACUGGGGAACUGCGUCUGAUACUGGCGAGCUUGAGUGCAGGAGAGGAACGCGGAAUUCCAGGUGUAGCGGUGAAAUGCGUAGAUAUCUGGAGGAAUACCGGUGGCGAAGGCGGCAUCCUGGACCAUUACUGACGCUGAGGCGCGAAAGCUAGGGGAGCAAACGGG